rfam:Cyberlindnera fabianii strain 65 BON22_Sc01, whole genome shotgun sequence.
GAAGCGGUGGCUCAAUGGUAGAGCUUUCGACUCCAGUUGUCAACAGUGCAAUCGAAGGGUUGCAGGUUCAAUUCCUGUCCGUUUCA